rnacentral:rRNA from 1 species
AAACAUGAGAGUUUGAUCCUGGCUCAGGAUGAACGCUGGCGGCGUGCUUAACACAUGCAAGUCGAACGGAGCCUAGCAAUAGGCUUAG